rnacentral:rRNA from 1 species
ACUCCUACGGGAGGCAGCAGUGGGGAAUAUUGCACAAUGGGCGCAAGCCUGAUGCAGCCAUGCCGCGUGUAUGAAGAAGGCCUUCGGGUUGUAAAGUACUUUCAGCAGUGAGGAAGGUGGGUAUGUUAAUAGCAUACUCAUUUGACGUUAGCUGCAGAAGAAGCACCGGCUAACUCCGUGCCAGCAGCCGCGGUAAUACGGAGGGUGCGAGCGUUAAUCGGAAUUACUGGGCGUAAAGCGCAUGCAGGUGGUUGUUAAGUCAGAUGUGAAAGCCCGGGGCUCAACCUCGGAAUUGCAUUUGAAACUGGCAAACUAGAGUACUGUAGAGGGGGUAGAAUUUCAGGUGUAGCGGUGAAAUGCGUAGAGAUCUGAAGGAUACCGGUGGCGAAGGCGGCCCCUGGACAGAUACUGACACUCAGAUGCGAAAGCGUGGGAGCAAACAGGAUUAGAUACCCCUGGUAGCGACUGA